CCCUGAGUACAGCGGCGUACGGGUGAGUAACACGUGGGUAAUCUACCUUCUGGUGGGGGAUAACCCUGGGAAACCGGGGCUAAUACCGCAUAAGCCUGAAAAGGGAAAGCAGCAAUGCGCUGGAAGAGGAGCCCGCGGCCGAUUAGCUAGUUGGUGAGGUAACGGCCCACCAAGGCGAUGAUCGGUAGCCGGCCUGAGAGGGCACACGGCCACACUGGCACUGAAACACGGGCCAG
rnacentral:rRNA from 1 species